AACGAACGCUGGCGGCAGGCUUAACACAUGCAAGUCGAACGCAUCCUUCGGGGUGAGUGGCAGACGGGUGAGUAACGCGUGGGAAUCUACCCAGUUCUGCGGAACAACAGUUGGAAACGACUGCUAAUACCGCAUACGCACUACGGGGGAAAGAUUUAUCGGAAUUGGAUGAGCCCGCGUUGGAUUAGCUAGUUUGUGAGGUAAUGGCGUACCAAGGCGACGAUCCAUAGCUGGUCUGAGAUGAUGACCAGCCACACUGGGACGGAGACACGGCCCAGACUCCUACGGGAGGCAGCAGUGAGGAAUAUUAGAGAAUGGGCGGAAGCCUGGACCAGCCAUGCCGGGUGGGUGAUGAAGGUCCUAGGGUUGUAAGGCUCUUUCGGCGGGGACGAUAAUGACGGUACCCGCAGAAGAAGCCCCGGCUAACUUCGUGCCAGCCGCCGCGGUAAUAC
rnacentral:rRNA from 1 species